AACGAACGCUGGCGGCAUGCCUAACACAUGCAAGUCGAACGAGACCUUCGGGUCUAGUGGCGCACGGGUGCGUAACGCGUGGGAACCUGCCCUUAGGUUCGGAAUAACUCCCCGAAAGGGGUGCUAAUACCGGAUAAUUUCUUCUGCCCAAUGAUUUAUCGCCUUUGGAUGGGCCCGCGUUGGAUUAGCUAGUUGGUAGGGUAAAAGCCAACCAAGGCUACGAUCCAUAGCUGGUCUGAGAGGAUGAUCCGCCACACUGGGAGUGAGACCAGGCCCAGACUCCUACGGGAGGCAGCAGUGGGGAAUAUUGGACAAUGGGCGAAAGCCUGAUCCAGCAAUGCCGCGUGAGUGAUGAAGGCCUUAGGGUUGUAAAGCUCUUUUAACCGGGAUGAUAAUGACAGUACCGGGAGAAUAAGCGCCGGCUAACUCCGUG
rnacentral:rRNA from 1 species